rnacentral:rRNA from 1 species
AGUGAACGCUGGCGGCAGGCCUAACACAUGCAAGUCGAACGGCAGCACAGUGGAGCUUGCUCCAUGGGUGGCGAGUGGCGGACGGGAGAGGAAUACAUCGGAAUCUGCCCAGUCGUGGGGGAUAACAUAGGGAAACUUAUGCUAAUACCGCAUACGACCUACGGGUGAAAGCGGGGGAUCGCAAGACCUCGCGCGAUUGGAUGAGCCGAUGUCCGAUUAGCUAGUUGGCGGGGUAAUGGCCCACCAAGGCGACGAUCGGUAGCUGGUCUGAGAGGAUGAUCAGCCACACUGGAACUGAGACACGGUCCAGACUCCUACGGGAGGCAGCAGUGGGGAAUAUUGGACAAUGGGCGCAAGCCUGAUCCAGCCAUGCCGCGUGGGUGAAGAAGGCCCUCGGGUUGUAAAGCCCUUUUGUCCGGAAAGAAACGCCUCGGAUUAAUACUCUGGGGUAAUGACGGUACCGGAAGAAUAUGCACCGGCUAACUUCGUGCCAGCAGCCGCCGUAA